GCUGAAUUGAUGGAAUAGGCAGACAUAACGGACUUAAAAUCCGUUGAUAGAAAUAUCGUGUGGGUUCAAGUCCCACAUUCAGCACCA
rnacentral:tRNA from 1 species